AACGCUGGCGGCAGGCUUAACACAUGCAAGUCGAACGCUCCUAGCAAUAGGGGAGUGGCAGACGGGUGAGUAACGCGUGGGAACAUACCCUCCGGUUCGGAAUAACUCAGGGAAACUUGAGCUAAUACCGGAUACGGUCGAGAGGCGAAAGAUUUAUCGCCGGAGGAUUGGCCCGCGUCCGAUUAGCUAGUUGGUGUGGUAAUGGCGCACCAAGGCGACGAUCGGUAGCUGGUCUGAGAGGAUGAUCAGCCACAUUGGGACUGAGACACGGCCCAAACUCCUACGGGAGGCAGCAGUGGGGAAUAUUGGACAAUGGGCGCAAGCCUGAUCCAGCCAUGCCGCGUGAGUGAUGACGGCCUUAGGGUUGUAAAGCUCUUUCGCUCGGGACGAUAAUGACGGUACCGAGAUAAGAAGCCCCGGCUAACUUCGUGCCAGCAGCCGCGGUAAUACGAAGGGGGCUAGCGUUGUUCGGAAUUACUGGGCGUAAAGCGCGUGUAGGCGGGCUUUUAAGUCAGGGGUGAAAUGCCGAGGCUCAACCUCGGAACUGCCUUUGAUACUGGAAGUCUUGAGUCCGGGAGAGGUGAGUGGAACUGCGAGUGUAGAGGUGAA
rnacentral:rRNA from 1 species